AUGCCGCUGGAGCGCUUCGACCUGCUCAUCGCGUCGCGGGAGCUGGUCCGGGCCUCCAACCCUCCCCCGGGCUCGCCGGCCGUGCACGCCGCCUCCAACGUCGACCUCGUCCUCGGCCCCUUGCCCAUCUACCUCGUCAGCAUCUACCCACCUCCGCCGUGCGGCCUGGACCCCGUGCUCGCCACCGUUCGCGCCGUGCUCCCGGCCUACCUCUCCCGCUUCUUCCCCUUCGCCGGCCGCGUCGUUCUAACAUGCGUCACCCGGACACCAACGUCCCCGAGGUCACCUGCUCCAACGCCGGCGCCGAGCUUGUCGUCGCCGACGCUGCCGGGGUCCGCCUCGCCGCCGUCGACUUUGCGCGCUUCGACGGCUCGCUCGGGAUGA
rnacentral:rRNA from 1 species